GAGCGUGUGGCCGAACGGUCAGGCGCCGGUCUGCAAAGCCGGUUAAGCGGGUUCGAUUCCCGCCACGCUCU
rnacentral:tRNA from 1 species